AGAGAUCUGGAGGAAUACGUGUGCGCGAAGGGCGGCCCCCCUGGACGAAGACUGACGCUCAGGUGCGAAACGCGUGGGGAGCAAACAGGGAUUAGAUACCCUGGUAGUCCACGCCGUAAACGAUGUCGACUUGGAGGUUGUGCCCUUGAGGCGUGGCUUCCGGAGCUAACGCGUUAAGUCGACCGCCUGGGGAGUACGGCCGCAAGGUUAAAACUCAAAUGAAUUGACGGGGGCCCGCACAAGCGGUGGAGCAUGUGGUUUAAUUCGAUGCAACGCGAAGAACCUUACCUGGUCUUGACAUCCACAGAACUUUCCAGAGAUGGAUUGGUGCCUUCGGGAACUGUGAGACAGGUGCUGCAUGGCUGUCGUCAGCUCGUGUUGUGAAAUGUUGGGUUAAGUCCCGCAACGAGCGCAACCCUUAUCCUUUGUUGCCAGCGGUCCGGCCGGGAACUCAAAGGAGACUGCCAGUGAUAAACUGGAGGAAGGUGGGGAUGACGUCAAGUCAUCAUGGCCCUUACGACCAGGGCUACACACGUGCUACAAUGGCGCAUACAAAGAGAAGCGACCUCGCGAGAGCAAGCGGACCUCAUAAAGUGCGUCGUAGUCCGGAUUGGAGUCUGCAACUCGACUCCAUGAAGUCGGAAUCGCUAGUAAUCGUGGAUCAGAAUGCCACGGUGAAUACGUUCCCGGGCCUUGUACACACCGCCCGUCACACCAUGGGAGUGGGUUGCAAAAGAAGUAGGUAGCUUAACUCGGGAGGGCGCUUAC
rnacentral:rRNA from 1 species